UUUAACUGCGCGUCAUGUUUUGUUUGUCGUUCCGGAGAAGUUCAUCACGGAAUCCUCCGAAAGCUACCUGUAUGGAUAUGCUCCGAUCGAUGGUAGUGGAUGCUGGAACCAUUAAAGUUGUCCUGCUUAUUGCCAGAUUAGGCUGAUGAUGGCCAUUCGCAUAAACCUCCGGCAGUUACAGUUCGAUUUUGCCCGGGAUGAAAUUCAAAUUUGAAUCGGAAUUUUGAUCGAUUUCAUUGUAUCCGCGGGCAUUUGAAAAAAAACCGGCAAAAAAAGUGAAAGAGGGGCAAACAGUUGGCCAACAACAAGCCCCGCAGCAGCGGUCGGAUCGCGGUAGAGGCUUUCGAUUCGAGAUUUUACUGAUCGCAAUCCGGAAACGAAUGUCUACUUGGCUGUAUGGGCCAGUUUAUUAAAAACACUCCUCUCCCGGAAAAUCGGAUCCGGAAAACAUGCGUACUAUUCCGUUUUCUAUGUUUUGGGUUGGUAACUAUCCCACCUGUUGCUUGGACAAAAAAGGUAUUUGGGCAUUGUGAAAUGGACCUUGAAACGGCAGCCCAACCACAACAACUGUUGGACAAUUUCCGAUGGUUUCAACUGGUUUUGCCUUCCACUCAGGGACGACUGUUCGCUGGCUUAAAGCGCCCGUAAACCCGGCUUAAAACUCCGCGUGCCAUGGAAUCAAUUUCAAUGAAUGUAAACCUGUUGCCGAGCGUCGAUCAUAUCGGGCAAGAAAUGUGUGCCGGAAACUGAGGAAGCAAUCGAAUCGCUCCUUCUCGUUGCUGAGUGCUGAAUGGCGCACAAAAAAACGGUGCAUAUUGACGAAUCAAUCUUGAGACAAAUCUGGUUGACUUCCGUCGCAGGCAGGCUACCCAAUGAUUCGGUCUCUGUGUCGUAUGUGUGCUGGAUACCGAAGAACCUCAGACAAUGGCCGGAAGAAGCAGCAAUGUUUUGUUCAAGGACCGAGUUCGGGAGCGAUGGUGUGGAAUAAUCCGCUUAAAAAUAUAUCUACUACCUAUACAAU